UACGAAGGGUGCUAGCGUUGUUCGGAACCACUGGGCGUAAAGCGCGCGUAGGCGGCCGAUCAAGUCAGGGGUGAAAUCCUUGGGCUCAACCCAAGAAUUGCCUUUGAAACUGAUAGGCUAGAGUACUGGAGGGGAUAGCGGAAUUCCUAAUGUAGCGGUGAAAUGCGUAGAUAUUAGGAGGAACACCGGUGGCGAAGGCGGCUAUCUGGACAGUAACUGACGCUGAGGCGCGAAAGCGUGGGGAUCAAACAGG
rnacentral:rRNA from 1 species